GCCCGCUGCUCUUUCUAGUAUCACUGUACUUUAUUGAUCUUUAGGUAUCGGCCUCAAGGCCUUCUUCAGAGCUUUUUGUGUUGUUGUUGAGUGUUUGAUCCUGGAACUGGUCCUCCCAGCUCAUCACUGCCACGUCCACGAGGGACCACCAUGGCUGAGGAAAUCACGAGGCAGGACUGGUUCCUUAUCGCACACCUGACGUUUCAACGGGAUGGAAUGCAUCGCGACUGGAGGAUGAUGAUGCAACAUUGUAUCAGCACUGAGCCAAGACGCUACACCUAUCCUUCGAGAUAAACUAGCUACCAAGCUAACGUUACUUGCCCGUUUCCCCAACUGUCAUACGCUAUUUUAGUUGAUAGUAUAAAGCAUGAGAGCACAUAUCCAUGACUAGCUAGCUAGCUAAUAUGCUGAGGAGGAUGUGCCAACGUUACGGAUACGUAAAUAGCUAGUUGCCGGUAAAUGCUGGUUAGCAUGAGCUAGCAAGCUCACCCAUUGAUCACCCCCUCGCUAUGUAGCUAAAGUGGUGGGCAAUGUGUUUUCACCUGCUGCAAGCCUCUCUCGAUGUCCCCAGCCUUCGUGACAAUGGGUCCUCUCACAGCGUACUCCACCGCUUUCACCUGCGGAUUGAGGGUGUCCAUGGUCAGAGUCUUUUCUCGCAUCUUGCCGUUCUCUCUCAAAAUCACGGUUGCCUCAGCUGUACUGAAUCGCUUCAGUCCAUACUGUUCAACCGGUCCUUGUGUUUUGAGUCGUAUGGACUGCACUAAACAUGCGGUCUCCCGAGCCUUUGUCCGCACAAGGGCUGGAGACUGGUCAAAAACACCAGCAAUCAAUGAUCUAUUUGCCAAGUGUUGAAGUCGAUGCAUGAUGUUGAUGUUGAAGUCGAUGCAGCAGGUUAGUUUGAACCACGACGAGGGAAAUUAAUGCUAGCUGUACAUGAAGAACGGCAAUAUGAGGAAGAGGCGAUGCGAGAGGGAUAACUGGGCACGAAAUCUAUCUUCUCCAGCAGGUGGCGAUGUUUCGUUUUUUCCGCUCACUCAGCGAGGAGUUUUAGUAUAGAGGUCAAAGAGAGUGUCGAAU